UACGUAGGAUGCAAGCGUUGUCCGGAUUUACUGGGCGUAAAGCGCGCGCAGGCGGCAAGGUAAGUAAGGUGUGAAAUAUCCCGGCUCAACCGGGAGGGUGCACUUUAGACUGCUUUGCUUGAGGUCGGUAGAGGGGGGUGGAAUUGCUGGUGUAGCGGUGAAAUGCGUAGAGAUCAGCAGGAACACCCGUGGCGAAGGCGGCCCCCUGGGCCGUACCUGACGCUGAGGCGCGAAGGCUAGGGGGAGGCGAACGGG
rnacentral:rRNA from 1 species